UUAAACGUCCAUACCACGUUGAAUACACUGGUUCUACAUCCGAUCAUCGAAGUUAAGCAACGUCGGGCGCGGUCAAUACUUGGAUGGGUGACCGCCUGGGAACACCGCGUGGCGUUGGCU
rnacentral:rRNA from 1 species